AUUGAACGCUAGCGGCAGGCCUAACACAUGCAAGUCGAACGAGUGGCGGACGGGUGAGUAAUGUCUGGGAAACUGCCUGAUGGAGGGGGCUAACUGCUGGAAACGGUAGCUAAUACCGCAUCCCAUCUGAUGUUCCCAGAUGGGAUUAGCUAGUAGGUUGGGUAAAGGAUCACCUAGGCGACGAUCCCUAGCUGGGCUGCGAGGAGGACCAGAUACACUGGAACUGAGACACGGUCCAGACUCCUACGGGAGGCAGCAGUGGGGAAUAGUGCACAAUGGGCGCAAGCCUGAUGCAGCCAGGCCGCGUGUAGGAAGAAGGCCUUCGGGUUGUAAAGUACUUUCAGCGGGGAGUCGUUACCCGCAGAAGAAGCACCGGCGAACUCCGUGCCAGCAGCCGCGGUAAUUC
rnacentral:rRNA from 1 species